ensembl:lncRNA
CCCUUUUUGUUCACCGAAAUUUGGUCUCCCCAUGUCGUUCUUUCUUUCACUUUCUGGCUGAAUUUUUCCUCUGAGGCGGGGAAGCUCAUCAAGCCUACUAAUUUUGCCUGGGCUUCUAAGAUCUGAUCGGGGAGGCCUUAGUGUCUCCUCUCCUUUGGGAGAAUGGGAGGACGCCUGCGGCCUUUGUAGUGGUCAUGUAUGGACAUGAGAGUUGGACUGUGAAGAAAGCUGAGUGCCAAAGAAUUGAUGCUUUUGAACUGUAGUGUUGGAGAAGACUCUUGCGAGUCCUUGGACUGCAAGGAGAUCCAGCCAGUCCAUCAUAAAGGAGACCAGUCCUGGGUGAUCAUUGGAAGGACUGAUGCUGAAGCUGAAUCUCCAGUACUCUGGCCACUUCAUGUGAAGAGUUCUGCAUCCAUGGAUUCAGUUCACAAGAGGGAUUGUGUGGCGCUGUAGGAAAUAUUUACAGGAAAGAAAAAGUCUGCAUUACAGGAAAUGCCUCUGGCAUGGUGAUAGGCUAAUCCAACGGUGAACUACUGAUGUGCUCAGUUGCUAAGUCAUGUCUAACUCUUUGCGAUCCCAAGGACCACAGCCCAGCAGGCUCCUCUGUCCAUGGCAUUUUCCAGGCAAGAGUACUGGACUGGGUUGCCAUUUCCUCCUCCAGGGGAUCUUCCCCAUCCAGGGAUGGAACCCCCAUCUCCAGCAUUGGCAGUGGAUUCUUUACCACUGAGCCACCUGGGAGGACCUGAACUACCAACACAGGCAACUAAAUGCUGGCGUUUCUUCAUGCAUUGAAGUUGUAAGGGGAAAAACUUGUACCAUAAUAUACUCAAGUUCAUCACUCAGACUGUUCUCACUACACAAAGCCAAGGAGAACCUCCACAUUCAUCUCAGUAGGUGUAAGGGUUACCACCUGAUUCAAGUUCAGCUACCAGUUUGUACUGAUUUGUACUGAUUUUAUUCAUUCUUCUUUCAUAAAUGCCAGAAGUUAUUUUUGAUAAACAGUAUUGCUUUUCUUGGAGAAGGCAAUGGCACCCUACUCCAG